UCCCUGGUGGCUCAGAUGGUAAAGCGUCUGCCUGCAAUCCGGAAGACCCGGGUUCGAUCCCUGGGUCGGGAA
rfam:TPA: Bos taurus chromosome 18, whole genome shotgun sequence.